rnacentral:rRNA from 1 species
ACAUCAUCUUUAGUGGCAAACGGGUGAGUAACGCGUGGGAAUCUGCCCUUUGGUGGGGGACAACUGAGGGAAACCUCAGCUAAUACCGCAUAUUAUUGGUAACAAUGAAAGAUUUAUUGCCAAAGGAUGAGCCUGCGUCAGAUUAGGUAGUUGGUAGGGUAAUGGCCUACCAAGCCGAUGAUCUGUAGCUGAUUUGAGAGAAUGAUCAGCCACACUGGGAUUGAGAUACGGCCCAGACUCC